rnacentral:misc_RNA from 1 species
UCGAUGCACGCCGCCGGCACUCGGUACGUGCAGCGCCACCACCAACACCCGCAGCAGUAAACCAUCCAGGUUUUUUUUUUCUUUCUCCGCCUUCCGGUGUGCGUGCUGUACGUCUUUCUGAGCGUGUGUAUGUUUCCACUCAAUCCUGUCUCCUCUGUUGUCGCGUUGGUGAUGUGAAGGUAAAGAAGGAGGAAACCCGCCAAAAAAAGGACAUUAUGCAGUCAACGCCGUGCGCACGUCUUGCGGCCGUGCCUGACGGGCUGCUGCGCUCGUCACGCUCGCUGUUGCAGCACUGCUCGCGGCACAAGAUUGUUAUUCCCCCGCUGUCGGCGUUUGCUGGCGACUCGGCUGGAUCGUCGACGGUGUCUCCCUCAUCAUCAUCGCCCUACAAAAAUGAGUAUGAACAGCACCGUCGCGUCAGUUCUGCUGUUGCGCCGUUCCUGCCAGCGGAGAGCGCGGCAGAGCUGCAGCGCGCGCUGCAGCUCGACGCCUUUCGCGAGGAGAAUGAUGAGACGCUAGAGAAGGUGUGGCGGGACUCGAAGUCGCACCUGCGCAAGCAGCAGAGGCUUGUGGAAGAGUACGGUGUCGAGGGAGCCGUGCGCGAAACGCUGCAGCCUAGCACCACCUCGUUUCGCGAGCAACUGCGCCAGCGUCCGCUUGACCGUGCCAUCUUGCAAGAGAUCUAUCUUGGUCUGCAUGGCCGCCGCAUUGAGAGGAAGCUAAAGCGCGGUGUCUCAUGGGAGCACUGGAUCACGAAAGGCGACGGCACGGCACCGGUCUUCAAUACAUCUAGCAAGGCACAGCAAACAUUUGCGUUCGGCGGUCACAUUCAGCAAGUGCGCUGCGCCACCCACCCACAGCACUUUCCCAUCUUCCUCAACCACGCCGCAGUCCGUGCGACGCCUGCCGCCACAGGCGGUUCGGGCAAGCGAGACCGCAACGCCAAGCAGCACCAGAAGCAGCUCCAACACCGGCCCCCUCCGCAGAAGUUACCUUCUCGGCUGCACCCUCGGCACAGUCUGCUGCCGGAGGUGGCAUUCAUCGGCCGGACGUCUAGCGGCAAGUCGUCGCUGGUCAACGCUAUCGUGAACGCGAUGAUCACACCGUACGGCCACCUGCGCGGGACGACGAACUCACUACGCUUCUACAACGUCGCGAAUCGUUUGAUGCUGGUUGACUGCCCCGGGUAUGGACACUAUGAUCCGAUGUGCACUCCAGCGAUAGACGCCGAGAACGCCGUGCGAGCGAUGCGGGCGUACUUGAAGGCGUGUGCAGCACCCGGAGCCGUACAGAGGAUGCAGCAGCACCGCCGCUAUGGGAAGUCGGUCGCCGUCCCCCAUCAGACACCCAACGGAAAGAGCGGUAGGCCGGCACAUAUGGAUGCGGACGCAGCGGAAACGGGUGACAACGAGACCGACGACGACCAUCACCGUGGCGGCACCGAGCCGCUCCUGCUCCACCAGCCGCGGAACGUGAAGCGUGUGUUUCUCUGUGCCUCUGCGCAGGGCUUGCAGCACCUGGACUACGCGUACUGCGACCUGCUCGAGGCCUAUCGGGUGCCUUUCGCAGUGGUGCUGACCAAGACAGAUGCGGCCCCCAUCCGCUUUCUUGCUCGGCUCACAGACUACACACGCAGCCAACUCGUGCGCUACACGCAGUGCAACGAGAUUCUGCUGACGAGCUCGCUGCGCAUUGCCGGCAUCGAUAAGAUGCAGGAGCUGCUAGGGAGUUUUGCCGCCGCUGAUGAUCCGCUGCACGGCGCAACACCAGACUUCAGCUCCAUUGUCUAAGCAGCGGCACAGGAGGGGUGGAGAGAACACGAGCUGUGGGUUGGAGGGACGAUGGAGAUUGGGGACAAUAAGAGGGUGGUGUUAGUUGUGGGCAGACUUGUGCACGUGGUAGCCCAGCGCAGUUCUCUCGGUUUUCCGUCUCUCACGUUCACCCACGACGACGACUGUCGAUGCUCCGCACACUGCCGGGGAUAUCGUUUUCGUCGCCGACGAUGCUCUUGUCUUCUCGCGCUCUCAUCCUUUGCUUUGUUUUUGGAGCUUUUUGAGGAGGUGGGGGGGGGGAGGCGGCGGCGCCGCGCUUCUCGAUUGGGCCACGCUUCACACACUUUUUCUCUGACUUCGAUUUCUUCUAAUUUCCUUGACUGAACCUCUCCUGGGUGCGCGUGCAGGUGAUAAGUAUGAGUGUCUUUCCUGUCCUCUCUCGCUGCACGUCGAGCAUCUGUAGUCGUACGG